CAGUAGCCGCGGUAAUACGUAGGUGGCAAGCGUUGUCCGGAAUUAUUGGGCGUAAAGGGCUCGCAGGCGGUUUCUUAAGUCUGAUGUGAAAGCCCCCGGCUCAACCGGGGAGGGUCAUUGGAAACUGGGAAACUUGAGUGCAGAAGAGGAGAGUGGAAUUCCACGUGUAGCGGUGAAAUGCGUAGAGAUGUGGAGGAACACCCGUGGCGAAAGCGGCUCACUGGACCAUAACUGACGCUGAGGCACGAAAGCCGGGGGAGCAAACAGGAUUAGAUACCCCGGUAGUCCCUGUCUCUUAUAC
rnacentral:rRNA from 1 species